UUCUGUCUUUGGCAGCUCCCGGCGAUCCUCCCCGACAACGGCGGCGACGAAAGCGAGCGGAAAGGGGGCGCGAGACUAAUGGUUCCGGAUGACAUUCGGUGUCCGAUUGAAUCGCAUUGGCGUUUGGGAGGAAGGUGAAUUGACAAGUAUAGGGAUUUUCUCAGAAGUCGGAGCAUCAUUCUCAUGAAAUUGAUCCUGAUUUUGCUUGUCAAAGGCACUCCUAGGCGCAAGGCGCCCUAUGCGACUUUUCAUGGCUGAGCCGCAGUACCAUUCAAAAGAUGCUGCGAAGGUUCAUGAGGCACACACCUCCUGUGGAUGCACAAGGCGCACGCAUCAUGUGCCUUAUUUGCAGCUGUAUUAAACCCUCCAAAUGCUAAGAGGACAAACUCUUAAACUGAGGGGGGGGAAAAAAAAAAGCAAAAGAAAACAACUCUGAAGCUCUUCAACUGUUCAACCGAGUGCAUAUUUAGGGUAGAUUGGUGCUGGGCAGACCUGUUGGUGGAAGCUGGAGGGCUGGAGCUGUCCUGCGCUAGCGACUAUACGCAUGUGGGGAUCACACUCCAAUGAACAGGCCACUCAUGAUGAGUGUGAACCUCAGCGAUGGCCACCUGUUUUCAUCAUCAGGGUCGCCGGGGGCAGGCGAAGUGGUGAACAACCUCCAGCGACCUGUUUCUGGGGACUCUUAACGCAACGACCUGUUUUUUUCUGUUUCUGUUUAUUCGCUGCUACAUUCCCCUUUUAUUUUUCCUCUGAAUACUGAUGCCUGCAGCCUGUUUAUUUUGCUGUAAAUAAGAAUUUCAGAAAAUCACAAAAGCAUCUAUAACUAUCUAAUAGGGCAUACCCCAAGCAUUACAACGAAAAUAAACUUCAUAGAGAUAAAACUAGCAAAAGAAAAAGCUUUUUUUGGACAAAACAAAAACAAACUAUAUAGAAUAAUAUACAAGAGUCGGCGGAAGCCUUCUAUAUAAUAGCUCCAUAAAACGCAAACUGUCAAAAGGCAUCAUCAUCAAACCUCCCUAAGCCUAGGAACAAGAAUCGGGGCAAAUUUUGGGAGGCCACAAAUAAAAUCAGAAUCUGUCAAUACCUUAAUGUCCCUAAGUAUUAGAAUGGUAUAUUCACGUGAAUGUCAAUAUUGGUGAUGAAGACAUACGGGUACUCCCCAAACACUGAUUUAGGGUGUCAAAAGCAUACUUUUGACUUAAUCCCCUGUUUGAUGUGAAAGUUAACAUUUGUGCAAGCUCACAUUUAUUUGGUGUUUUCUUCUUAAUAACAUAUAAGUGGUCAGAUAUCUUUUUAUUUUUAACUAAUUAUAUUACUUUUAAUGUUAUUUCUUCUUUUAUGGUGAAACUUCUUUUUUAUGUACUUUUAAAUUAUGUUUUUCUUUCAUUUGUCUAAAUAAAUUUGUUUUAAUGUGUUUUAUGCUAUUUUGAAACUAAUUUUCUAUUUAUUCUUCAGAAAGUUAUUAUUCUAUACAUAUUUUUAAUAUAUAUAUAUAUAUAUAUAUAUUCCUUGUGCCUCCCGCCCAGGCCUCAAAACACUUUGCAACUUUGACAACUAUACUUGGUGGUUGGUUGAAACUUGAAAGUUGGCCAAGUCUUUCUUGGUUGCUGCUCAAGUGGCUUGGUGUCUUGAGGUUUAUGGCUGGUUACUGAGCUUCAUAUGGAGCAGGUAGUUCUGUUUGGGGCUUUUUUUCUUGGUGUUUCUGUUAUGGGGUUAGUUUUGGGAUAACCUGUUUUGUUGCUGCCCUUUUUGAUUGAUUGCAAUUGUGGGUUUGCUUGCUGGUUGUGUUGUUUUGUUGAGAUGUCUAAGUGCUCUGUUUUGUGCUGAUUUCCGGAUAUGUUUUGCCUGUCUUAUGUGCUAAUCUGUAGCUGAUUUUUGGUUUCAAGUUUUCCAGUAUUGGGUUUCUGCUAUCCAAUUUGGGCUUGUUGGAUAAUCUAUGGAGAACUAUGGGUUUUUCAAUGAUAUAGAUGGUUUGUAUACCCGAGGCAUUUGUUGGUUUCUUCCUGUUAUUGAUGUUUUGCCCAAGUUUGGCUGUGCAUCUGGGAUAGGAUCUUUGGAAUUGGUGGGCUGGUGUUUCCAUCUAUACCCAAGAUGAUUGGCUUGAUUAUGGAUGCUUUUAUUCAGUUGCUUCUACUUUUGGAGAUGUCUGCUUUGUUGGCUGUUAUGUGAUUCCCUGCAUACUCAGCGAAUACAUGUCUUGGGGGUGCAAUCGAGGGGGCUUGGAUAGCUCUCUCUCUCUCUAUCUCUGAUAAGUCUGUGUUUUCAAUUUCAGGGCUUGGAGAAUUUCUUUUUUAAUUAUUUAUUUUUCAUUUACCUUUUUUAAUAUAUCAUUUAUUUUUUCAAUUUGAACAUAAGAUGGACACAAGUAAACCGAAUUUUCAGCUCUAAUUGAAUUAAGUGUAUUUUGAUUCACUUAUUCAAGUUGUUGUGUCCAAAAAAGUAUGUCCAUGCCCGAGAAUUAGCUCAAGCCUAAAGAAAGAAGCCCAAAAGCCUAUCUAGAAAAAAAUAUAGAGAGAGAGAAAUAACCCAUAGGUGCAUGAAGUCACCCGCAAGACUAAGGCUGAGGGGCUUGCUAGAGAAUUGACUGAGAGGCUUGCGGGAGACUUAGACGAGAGGCUUGCAAGAGACUUGACCCUCAACCCGAAUGACUAAGAUCGAGACCAAGUGAUCUCACCUAAAAGCCUCUCUCGAUGUCUUCAAAAGACCCUCUCAAGAAUUCAUGAGUCACUCAGCAAUUGCUAUUUGGAAGACUUUCGUGGGCCGGCUAUUCCAAUAUCCUUGUUUACAAAUUCGGAAGAGAGCCGAAAUAUCUGUCAAAGAUUGUGGGUCUCUCUUCACCUGUCUUCUCCUCUCUAUAAACAUGAGACUCAUCCUCUAGUAAAGGUCUCUCAAAAAUUACACCUGAGACACUCUCUCGCACAAAAAAAUUUAUUAUUGUAUCUUGUCAACAAUACAGUCUUUUGUCAUAUUUCCAAUUUUGUUUGUUUUUACUUAUCUGGAGAACAUCCAUCCAUUAUACACUACUAAAGCAAAGCUGAUUGUUGCUGUAAUUUCAUCGAUAUUACUUGCCUGUGAUCUGUAUAACUUAUUGGGUCUUUUUUUUUUUUUUGUGAGAACUUAUUGGACUGUGAAUAAUAAUUAUUCACGGGAUAGUUUGAGCAACUUGGCUUAUUUCUCUGUGCACAAAAUCUCCCCUUCUGUUUGCUUUCUGUUUGAUGGUUAGGUUCUGUCACUUCUGUAUUCUUACUCAACUCCACAGUCUUGUGGGAUGGGAGGAAAUUGUGAGCUUAUGGCCCUGUUUUGUCAUUGUAUUGAUCGUUCUUAGUACAUUUUUGGAAUAAAUUGAGCUUAUGAUCUGUUUGAUACAGUGUGAAUUAGAAAUCCCUCUCUCUUUUAGUUGCUUUUUUGUGAUUAUUUAUGGAGCCCAGGCCGGCUCUACCUUGAAGCCAUUUAUGCACAUUAGGCCCCCUAAAUUAGAAG